rnacentral:tRNA from 1 species
AUUUACAUAAUAUAUUUAGUAUAUUUGAUUUCCAAUCAAAAAGUUUAUUUUUCUAAUGUAAAUA